rnacentral:pre_miRNA from 1 species
CAUCUACUCCCUCCGUUCGGAAUUACUUGUCUCGGAAAUGGAUGUAUCUAGAACUAAAAUAUGUCUAGAUACAUCCAUUUCUGCGACAAGUAAUUCCGAACGGAGGGAGUAGCUU